rnacentral:rRNA from 1 species
GAUGAACGCUGGCGGCGUGCCUAAUACAUGCAAGUCGAGCGAACAGAUGAGGAGCUUGCUCCUCUGACGUUAGCGGCGGACGGGUGAGUAACACGUGGAUAACCUACCUAUAAGACUGGGAUAACUUCGGGAAACCGGAGCUAAUACCGAAUAAUAUAUUGAACCGCAUGGUUCAAUAGUGAAAGACGGUUUUGCUGUCACUUAUAGAUGGAUCCGCGCCGCAUUAGCUAGUUGGUAAGGUAACGGCUUACCAAGGCAACGUUGCGUAGCCGACCUGAGAGGGUGAUCGGCCACACUGGAACUGAGACACGGUCCAGACUCCUACGGGAGGCAGCAGUAGGGAAUCUUCCGCAAUGGGCGAAAGCCUGACGGAGCAACGCCGCGUGAGUGAUGAAGGUCUUCGGAUCGUAAAACUCUGUUAUUAGGGAAGAACAAAUGUGUAAGUAACUAUGCACGUCUUGACGGUACCUAAUCAGAAAGCCACGGCUAACUACGUG